CAAAAACAUUGCUUCUUGAUAUAAUCAUAAGAAGUAGCUCCUGCCCAGUGAUAAAUUAAACGGCCGCGGUAUCCUAACCGUGCAAAGGUAGCAUAAUCACUUGCCCAUUAAUUGUGGGCUAGAAUGAAUGGAUGAACGAAAUAAUUACUGUCUCAGUUUGACAUAUAAAAAUUAUUCUUUAGAUGAAGAAAUCUAAAUAUAAUUGAAAGACAAGAAGACCCUAUAGAGCUUUAUCUAAAAUAAGUUAACUUAAAUAUGAUUCGGUUGGGGCGACCUGGGAUUAUUAUAAACAUCCCCAUAUACUAGAUUAAUAAAUCAAAUACAAGAUCCUACUAAGAGCAUAAAAUCAAGCUACCUUAGGGAUAACAGGCUAAUUCCACUAAAAAGUCCUUAUUAACAGUGGAGUUUGGCACCUCGAUGUUGGCUUAGGGUAUCCAUUAAAUGCAGAAGUUUAAUUAAGAUGGUUUGUUCAACCAUUAAACCCCUACGUGAUCUGA
rnacentral:rRNA from 1 species